CAUAAAAGACAAUGUGUUAUACAUUAUAUAAAUGCAGCACAUGCUCCAGCACACAAGUCAGAAUCUGUUGAACUCCAGUGAAGCAUGUCACAUCAGUGUGCCUUGCACUGAGCCGCUCUGCCUUUGUUUCAUGCAGAGGCCCUCAGCUGUUGUGGAUUAAUCCACGAAUUUUUAGCAGACUGUGUGAGGACAAGAAAAGAAAUCCAAGAGCGGAAGACGCUGCACGCCCGCCGUGGACAUGCGGUCCCACUGUCAGUCAGUGAGAAUAUCAAACAGUAAGUAGACUGAGGUCCUCGGAGGAAAGAUGAUAGGUCAUUGACACUCAAAGCUCUGAGGUGCUUGGUAUGUUUUGGCUUCAGUGACUCCAUAAACCAACAACAAUGGCAGCCUGCUGUUCUCUGUGGUCUUGUUUGGAUGAGUUAUAACUCCUUCCCAGCAGGCAUUGUGCCUUGAUGCAGCUUAACGAAUUACAUCAGACCACUGUUGUUUGUUAGAAGUCUGAAUCUUUAAUCUCUAAUAUUCUGAGUUUGUGCUCAAGAGCCCAAUGCUCAAAAACUAAAGAACAAACCGCAGAAGAAUUGAAUCUUAUAAUUUGAAAGGUCUCAUAAUACAUAAAAUAAUGCAUCUUCUGCUUUGAUUUUUUUAAAAUUGUCUGCCAAAACAUUACAUUUUACACAAGUUAAAGUUGCUGGAUUUCAGAAAUAUUUUUUCCAUGAUUCUCUGAUCAGAGAGAACUUUUUGUCCCACUGCUCAAAGAUUUUCACAUUUAACUAAACCACAAAAUUCAUUUCAAGCAAGAAUUUGAAUGAUCAAUGUAUCUAUGCGUUAUUGCACAUAAACAUGCUAUAAAAAUUAGAUUUGAAGGGGUUUAUUAUUUUUUUUUAUUGUUUAUUUGAUAGGGACAAAUACAGAAGAAUAUAGAUCAUUGUAUUAGAACAAUCUGAUGCUUGUAUUACAGUGUUUAUAGCCGUGGCUAAUUCACAACACCUGGUGGAGAUUUUACUGAAAAAAAAAACAACAACAAGCAGCGAAAAAUGAAUGUGUAAUAUUGUAAACUUUUAAAGGUGAGACCUGACAUCAAUUAAUUUUUAAACUGUCUUAAACCAUUUUCCAAAUCUUUUCACUACAUGAAGCACAAGAAUGCCCAGAUAUUGUCUAUUUUUUUUAUUUUUUUGUUUUCCUACUGCUUUUGUCUCAUUGACUGAUGUUAUUGACAGAUAUACUUGAAAAAAGAAUAAUAAAAAAAAUCCUGUCUAUCAGAAUGGUCAAUAAAGUUUGUUUAAACAAAAAAAGCUAGCUUGAUGCUACAAUCUUACACGCACGCGCGCAAACAGACCUCUCAGGAAGUGAGAGGGGGAGGGGUUUCUCCGAGCCAACAGCCCCGCCCGCAAACCUGUUUUUCCAAUGAGUUAGCUGCCGCUGAGCGUGAACUGUCUUAAAAAAAAAACCCCGACUACAGCUUUUUUUAUUUUAGCUAAAAAAUGUCACAUAUGAUUAAAAGACUAGGAACGAUUUUACAAAAGAAAAACAAUUGUUUGGAGUGGGACCUGAAGGGCCGAGGAAUUAACAACAAAGAUCUCCCCUCACAAUGAGAGCCUUGGAUCCGCCUUGACCUCUGUGUUGCUGACCCUCGCCUUCGUCUACGUCUUGCUGCCUCUGCCUGCUCCUCUGGAUAUUUCCGCUGCCCUGAUUUCCUAUAUUGACUCUGACUCUCUUCUCAGAAGAACUCACAGACUCCUCCUACUGCUUGGAGGACCUUACUGCACGCCAAAUAAACUGCUUAAAAACUCUCA